ensembl:misc_RNA
UUGUCAGCCCUGGAAAAUGAAGACCUUUAUUUACCUACAACACAGGUGCAGCACAGGCUAUAGCAGUGCAAGCUACCCCCAUACCUCUGUGUUCAUGUACCUCAACCAGAGAUGACCUCUGCUGGUGACAGGGUAAGUCAGUCUUCAUGCCUAAUGUAGUCACUGAACCCU